AGCAGGGGAGCCAGGCAGCCAGCAGGACCCCUGGGUCUCGGGGUUACACAGCCGGACGGUGGGGGCGGCCACACUGGGAAGGGAUGGCUGGAAGAGCUGGUUUUGGAGGGAAAGUGUCAGCCUGCAGCUUCGGCUAUGUCGAACCUGAGCUACUGCUGAGCCAGCCGGGAGGCGCCAAGGUGCACACUCCAGGUUGGAGAGUUGUGUCGUCCACGCACAUGUGCGUCAUCGGUGGAGAGAACAGAGAAUUGACUGUCCCAACUGGGACACUUCUGAGAGUAAAGGGACACUCUCUUAGCAAUUAUGCCAGGACAACAGCACCUCAGACAGGGACUGCCCCAGGGAGGCAGGGACAAUGGUCACUCUUGUCAUUAGUGUGCAGGUGGUGGCUGGAGGUGAGAUCCUCCAGGGAAAGAGGAGGGGGGGCUCCUGGGACCAGGCCUUGGAGGAUGGUCUGUCGAGUUGUGGGGGGAUGGCGCCGAGACAGCAUGAUGGCCCGGACAGCAUGUAUCUAUCAGGGCACCAAGAGCAUCUGGGGGACAGAGCCAUCCAAAGUCCUGACCACUGCCCAGAGGGGACCUGUUGGAGUGAGCCCCUUGGAGGGUGCAGGGGCCGCGGCAAAGCUGUCAAGGAGUGGUGGCUGCGUGAGCCCGCUGGGGGCGACUGCAGUGGAGGGGAGGAAACAGAGCGAGUGCGAAUGGCCCCUUCUCUCUGGAGUGGCACGGAAGUCAGAUCCCUCAUCCAUAACCACAGCGUCUGGAAUAUUUGAGGCCGCUCUGUGGUCUCCCUCCUUCCCUGCGGAAGUUAUCAAGAAGGGACCAACUCACGCACAGGAUGUGCUGUCUAAUGAGCUAAUGAACGGGAGUGAGGACCGUGUUUCUGCAAUGAAUCAAAAAUAUGUACUGAGCUCGUCUAUGUGCUAGGCGUUGCAGAUUUACUGCAACGUAUUUGAAACGGACAAGCCUGGGUUCCAGCCGUUGUCACAGAUGCCCAUGAGGCUUCGAGUUAUCAGGAGGUGAUGAAGAUGUCGCAAGCCCCCUGAGUGCAGGGCACAGAGCAGAAGCUCCUGCCCCUUUUCCUGAGGGAAUGAAUUCCUCCACUCAGUCACCUUGUAGAAACUGAACAGAAGCCAGAAAACCAUCAAAACUCUAAUUUGCAGCUAAGGGGAUGAUAGCUUCCAGAACCUACAUUCAGGCACUGCCUUUCCGAACACAAAGGGGCCCUCGCACAAGCCAGAGCAGGUGGGCCCAAGGCCAUCAGCACCCGUCACCUCGGAAUUAAUCGGAUUCCAGCAGAGCCCAGGCCGGAGCCUCUGGUGAGACCCUUCUAGAAGAUGGAGAGACCUGGGGUCUGUCUGAACCACAGGCCCACAGCCGUGAGAGGAGAGACCUGGCGGAGCAGGGGAGCAGAGCUGCUGGCGAGGUGGGGUCUGUAGGGGGCGGUGGAGCGGGC
rnacentral:lncRNA from 1 species